rnacentral:rRNA from 1 species
GUGGGGAAUAUUGGACAAUGGGCGAAAGCCUGAUCCAGCCAUGCCGCGUGUGUGAAGAAGGUCUUCGGAUUGUAAAGCACUUUAAGUUGGGAGGAAGGGCAGUAAGUUAAUACCUUGCUGUUUUGACGUUACCGACAGAAUAAGCACCGGCUAACUUCGUGCCAGCAGCCGCGGUAAUACGAAGGGUGCAAGCGUUAAUCGGAAUUACUGGGCGUAAAGCGCGCGUAGGUGGUUUUGUAAGUUGGAGGUGAAAUCCCCGGGCUCAACCUGGGAACUGCCUCCAAAACUGCAUGACUAGAGUACGGUAGAAGGUAGUGGAAUUUCCGGUGUAGCGGUGAAAUGCGUAGAUAUAGGAAGGAACACCAGUGGCGAAGGCGACUACCUGGACUGAUACUGACACUGAGGUGCGAAAGCGUGGGGAGCAAACAGGAUUAGAAACCCCUAUAGUCC